AUUAAAGUUGAGUUGCAAUAUAAUUUAUAAUUCGAUGUAACUUGCAGUAAAAAAUAUGUGAUAGAAACUGUAGGUUUAUGUGGUAAAUUCACAGUAAAAAUAAAAGUUAUCAUUUUAUUAAAAUAUGUGAUUGGUAACAUUUUUGAUGUAUAAGUUGCAGUAUGAGUUUUUUAAUAAAAUAAUUGAAUAUAUAAACAUAUAAAUAGUAAAAACAUUUAUUAAAAAAAUUAACAAUAAGAUAUUUUAAAAAUAAAUAAAUUAAAAGGUAUAUUUUGAAUUAGUAUAAAAAUUUAAAAAAAAAUAAUUUUCAAUAUAUAUUAUCUUCUAUAUUUUUGUAACUGUAUUAUUUUCUAUAUUAUGAUCACCAGUAAUACUAUUUAUUCUAAUAUCAAUAGAAAAUAAGUUAAUCAAAUAAUAAUAUUAACAUGAACUUUAAACUAAAAAUAAAAUAAUAAUAAUAAAAGUUUAUAAAUGUUCAUUCCAAAUCAAUCUCAAAUUAAAAUAAAAUAGAUAUUACUAUAACCGUAGAAUUGGAACCAUAAAUAAUAAUAUUUAGAAUUUAUAAAGCAAAAAAAAAAAUCUACAAAUGUUUGUUAGUUACGUGACAUGCAUAGUAAUUGUAGUUACGUGAACAAAAAAAAGGACGUGACAUGGGUAAGUUAUGAAAACUCAAUAUUUUAUUAUUUUUUUAUUUUAAGGAAUAAAAAAUCAAUUAAUUUUGUAACUCAACCUGUAAAACAUGGAAUUUUGGUUGAUUAGGUUUAUGAUUUGAAUUAACAGUUUUACAAAGGGUUUAAGUCAAAAUUGUAACUCAACUACAAAACAUAUUAAAUCAAACUUAAAAUCAAAAAAUCAAAUUUAAAACAUGAUUGGUAACAAUUUUGAGUUACUAAUGACUUUUACUUCUAACUCAAAGAAAUCUUGAAGGUGGAAGGUUAAGGAUAGAGAAGAUCAAUUGAUGAAAUUGCAUCUAAACAUGGAUCAAAUGUGGAAAGAGCUGACGCAGAAGCUUUUGGGAGUUUAGUUCUCUCUGAACUGGAACGAGUUAGUGGCACAGAUAUCUCACCGGUCACAGUCCAAUACACACAGGUUCCUCAAGCGCUAUGUGUUUCAGACCGCCGUAUACACACUAUGUAGAGAGCAAAACUCUCAACGUUGUGGUGACACAGCCGGGAAAACGGCCAAUUCAU